AACGAACGCUGGCGGCGCGCUUAACACAUGCAAGUCGAACGAGAAGGCGUAGCAAUACGCUUGUACAGUGGCGAACGGGUGAGUAAUACGUGGGCGACCUACCCUCGAGUGGGGAAUAACCCGCCGAAAGGCGGGCUAAUGCCGCGUACGCUUCCAUCUUUAUGGAGGUGGAAGGAAAGCCGUGCCGUGGGCACGGCGCUCAAGGAUGGGCUCACGUCCUAUCAGCUUGUUGGAGGGUAACGGCCUACCAAGGCUCCGACGGGUAGCUGGUCUGAGAGGACGAUCAGCCACACUGGCACUGCGACACGGGCCAGACUCCUACGGGAGGCAGCAGUGAGGAAUAUUGCGCAAUGGGCGAAAGCCUGACGCAGCGACGCCGCGUGGGGGAU
rnacentral:rRNA from 1 species